CGUUCAGGGGACACGCGGGCCUCCCUCUCAGAACUCGCCCCUCCCCCACGCGCCGCCGUCACCCGGGAAACCGGCCGCAAUCACCCGCAGACCUGAAGCUGGUUUCAUGGCAGCCUCAAAUAAGGCAGUUUUGGGGCCAUUGGUGGGGGCAGUGGACCAGGGCACCAGUUCGACACGCUUUUUGGUUUUCAAUUCAAAAACAGCUGAACUGCUCAGUCAUCAUCAAGUGGAACUAAAACAAGAGUUUCCCAGAGAAGGAUGGGUGGAACAAGACCCUAAGGAAAUUCUGCAUUCUGUCUAUGAGUGUAUAGAGAAAACAUGUGAGAAACUCGGACAGCUCAAUAUUGAUAUUUCCAACAUCAAAGCUAUUGGCGUCAGCAACCAGAGAGAAACCACUGUAGUCUGGGACAAGUUAACUGGAGAGCCUCUCUACAAUGCUGUGGUGUGGCUUGAUCUAAGAACACAGUCUACUGUUGAGAAUCUUGGUAAAAGAAUUCCAAGAAAUAAUAACUUUGUCAAGUCCAAGACAGGCCUUCCACUUAGCACUUACUUCAGCGCUGUGAAACUUCGUUGGCUCCUUGACAAUGUGAGAAAAGUUCAAAAGGCUGUUGAAGAAAAACGAGCGCUUUUUGGGACUAUUGAUUCAUGGCUUAUCUGGAGUUUGACGGGAGGAGUCAAUGGAGGUGUCCACCAUACGGAUGUAACAAACGCAAGUAGGACUAUGCUUUUCAACAUUCAUUCUUUGGAAUGGGAUAAAGAGCUCUGUGAAUUUUUUGGAAUUCCAAUGGAAAUUCUUCCAAAUGUCCGGAGUUCUUCUGAGAUCUAUGGCCUAAUGAAAGCUGGGGCCCUGGAAGGUGUGCCAAUAUCUGGGUGUUUAGGGGACCAGUCUGCUGCAUUGGUGGGACAAAUGUGCUUCCAGAAUGGACAAGCCAAAAAUACGUAUGGAACAGGAUGUUUCUUGCUGUGUAAUACAGGCCAUACGUGUGUGUUUUCUGAUCAUGGCCUUCUCACCACAGUGGCUUACAAACUUGGCAGAGACAAACCGGUAUAUUAUGCAUUGGAAGGUUCUGUAGCUAUAGCUGGUGCUGUUAUUCGCUGGCUAAGAGACAAUCUUGGAAUUAUAAAGACCUCAGAAGAAAUUGAAAAACUUGCUAAAGAAGUAGGCACUUCUUAUGGCUGCUACUUUGUCCCAGCAUUUUCGGGGUUAUAUGCACCUUAUUGGGAGCCCAGUGCAAGAGGGAUAAUCUGCGGACUCACUCAGUUCACCAAUAAAUGCCAUAUUGCUUUUGCUGCCUUAGAAGCUGUUUGUUUCCAAACUCGAGAGAUUCUGGAUGCCAUGAAUCGAGACUGUGGAAUUCCACUCAGCCAUUUGCAGGUAGAUGGAGGAAUGACCAGCAACAAAAUUCUUAUGCAGUUACAAGCAGACAUUCUGUAUAUUCCGGUAGUGAGAUCCCUGAUGCCUGAAACCACUGCACUGGGUGCUGCCAUGGCAGCAGGGGCUGCGGAAGGAGUCGGCGUGUGGAGUCUCGAACCUGAGGAUUUGUCCACCGUCACGAUGGAACGGUUUGAACCUCAGAUUAAUGCUGAGGAAAGUGAAAUUCGUUAUUCUACAUGGAAGAAAGCAGUGAUGAAGUCAAUGGGUUGGGUUACAACUCAAACUCCAGAAAGUGGUGACCCUUGUAUCUUCUGCAGUCUGCCCUUGGGCUUUUUUAUAGUGAGUAGCAUGGUAAUGUUAAUUGGAGCAAGGUACAUCUCAGGUAUCCCAUAAAUAUUACCAACUCAUGGAUUCCCAAGAUGCGAGCUUCUUACAUAAUGAAAGAAUCCAGCAAUUCUGUCUCUUAAUGCGAUGACACUGUUCAUAGACUUUGAGUUUAUUUAUAAGCCGCUUGCUGCAUGACCCUCCAAGUAGACCUGUGGCUUAAAAUAAAGAAAAUACAGCAAAAACAAUGCUAUGGAAACAUCUGUGAUUUCUUUCUUUUUUUUAAUUUUUUAACAUCUACAGUUAAGGUUAGGCCAGCUACCCUUGGGACUGACCCCCUCCAUUGCCGUAACAUCUUUCUCCAUUCCCUCUAAGAUCUAGGAAGAAUUCGGAUCCUACUAUUGAAAUCUUACAUCAGACAUACUCAAACACUAUUGGAUGAGGCUCUGAGUCUCUGCAUGACAUAUAUUUGAUUAAAAUAUUAUUACUAACCUGUUAAAAAUAAGCAGCUCUUUGCUUUCACUUUUCUACAUAGUAGAAGACAGCAACAUCUUCAAUGAAUGUUUGAAUAGAAACCUUUACUAAAUUAUUAAAAUAGACAUUUAGUGUUCUCACAGCUUGGAUAUUUUCCUGAAAAGUAUUUGCCAAAACUGAAAUCCUUCAGCUAUUUUCCAUGGUCCCACUAAUUAUAAUGACUUUCUGUCUGGAUCUUAUAGGAAAGGACACUUUAUUUUUUCUUCCAUCUUUCCUUUUUAUAUUUUUUACUUUGUAUGUAUAACAUACGUGCCUAUUUAUCUUAUAUACUGAGGGUAGUCCAUUUAUAAAUUAAGAGCACAUUAUAUUCAGAAGGUUCUAACAGAGCUGGUCUUAAGUGAACCACCAGGCAUAUAAAUAUGUUAGAAAACAGCUGUAUACAUUUUUGGGCAAUCGUUAUGCAUAAUAUUUACGGGGAGAAUUUUUUUCCUAAAGAGCCAACAUUUAAAAUUUAUGUUUUAAGUCAAUAAAAGAAAAUAUACUU